rnacentral:lncRNA from 1 species
AUGAGAAGUACUACAAUCAGAAAUUACCUGCAAUUAAAUGUAGCUUUCCUUCCAUUAAAAAGCCAAAACUAUAAAAGGCUCUUCUAUACCAUUCUUACAUGAACUAAUUUUUAUCAAGGUUUUGUCACAUAAUCAGCACAAAAACUCUGUGAAGGAAGUCUUUUAUUUUUAUUCCAAUUUUUCAGAUGUAGAAAAUGAUCGAGUGACUUGAUUUCCAUAAUAGCAGACAGAACUCAUUAGAAGAAUUUUCCAAAAGGCCAAGACCUCUCCUAGUUAUUAACUUUGCACUGGUGAGGACCUAUUCAGCAAAUUGGAGAAUCUAAUCCGUGUUUUCUCAGUUCGUGACUGUCUAUACACAGGAGCAAACACAGGCAAUUUCAUGUCCUAAGCAUUCACACGGGGGUUUUAGCAACGGUUGUGGCAUUAAGCUGCAUUUUAAGUGGCUAUAUAAGAUGCAACAACAUCAUUACCUUGAAUUAAAGUGCAAGAGGAACACUCCACUGGGAGCGCAUCGUAUCCUACAUGAAGAAAAUAAUUCAUGAGAAAGACAGAUCUGUAUGAGAUUAAUCGGAAAGAUGCUGAAUGUUACGUGCUCAUAUGUGGAGGGAAAACCAGGUCCUGCCAUUUACAUUAGACAUUAUUACAGCGAUGCCACAAGCCAGCCCCAGAAUCUCUGCCCUUGCAGGAGGCAGGGAGUCAAAAGUACCAGAAACUUUGGACCUCACAGAAAAACUGGCUGCUACAUCACAGAACUGGCAGGGGCAACAACAUAAACUAGUUCCACCACCAACUCUCCCUAGCACCCCGUGUUUAUUGGUGAACAUCCUGAUGGAAUGGUAUUAGUGACAUCAAAUCCAGAAAGCAAAGAAUUAUCGCUAAUUUUUUCUUUACGAUGAAUUCCAUAUAAAAGUGAGAAAUUGGUUCACUACAAAUACCCCUCAGAUAUCCCUAAUUCUAACUUGCAACAAUUAAAAG